GAAACGGGCCGGGGGAAGGGCGUACAUGAGUACAGGUUCCUGAGGGAGGUGUAAUAGUGGGGGUUAUACCGCCCUGUGUGUGCAGGGAGCUAAAUACAAAUACAGCAUGCUGAAUACGUGCCAAGUAUGCUGGUUAAUGAAUAAAUCUCCUUCCGAUCCUGGUGUUUUCACAGCUAUGGAUCCUGAUGACCUGGAAGAGUUGGCAGUGGCGCUGCAAGGGAAGACUGUUGGUGGCUGGGGCCUUGUGCAGCUUGCUGCUGGCACAGGUUUUGCUGCCUAUGUUAUGUGGGCAGGAGUUCUCAUGCCUGGCUUCCGCAGAGUGCCUUUAAAGUUACAGGUGCCAUAUGUACCAUCAAGUGCCAAGCAAGUUGAGAAUGUGAUGUCGCUGCUGAAAGGACGCUCUGGGAAGAUGGUGGAUUUAGGGUCAGGAGAUGGCAGAAUUGUAUUAGAAGCAUAUAAACGAGGCUUCAGACCAGCUGUUGGCUAUGAACUCAACCCCUGGCUGUUGAGACUCUCCAACUAUCAUGCCUGGAGGGCUGGGUGUUAUGGGAAGGUUUUCUACCAACGGCAAGAUCUAUGGAAGGUAAACGUAUCUGACUGCAACAACAUCUCUGUGUUCCUCGCUCCCAGUGUGUCUGACCCUGCUAUCAGAAACAGCAGUUGAGAUUGAUCAAGAUCUCCUGCAGAAUGAGAUGCUGACAAGACUUCAUGGAGGGGAGGCUCUAGGUCAGAACCUUACCCAUCUUGCUAUUGGCUCCAAGUUACUAGUAUAUGGUGCUAUACAACCAAAGGAGGAGCUUACAAUCUCGCUCUUCUGUGAUCCUGGUUUCCAAGCAACUAAAAGACAAGAAUGAAUGGGGAAGAUGAAAGGCAUCCUGCAAAGAGAAUGACUGAACUGCAGAGAAAGCUCACUGAGAAAGAAAAAAUUACCAGUUACCUAACGGAUUGCCACUCGCUGGAAAGAUGCGUGCUAAAGGGGGUGAAGUGAAAUGCAGGGGAAAGGGCAGACGGAAUAGGGAGCAGCUAAUACACUAAAAUACAGCUAAUACAAUAGGAAGGUUGUGUUAAAUCUAUCCUGGCUGCAUAGGUAUCAUCACACUAAGUGUGGACUCAGAUGAGAUGUGGAUAGGAAGGUCAGAUUACCGUGAGAAACUAAAUGGUUGGUACUGAAGCACUAGUCAAUAUCACACAAAUGAUGAUGCAACUGAGGCAAGAGGCUACUCCAGCCCAGCAUUCUGGGUUUGCUUUAUCACCAUCACCUCCAGGGGGUUGUCUGUGUCACUAGCAGAGCUCUCAAGAUCCCUCUCAUUCACACCAUCCGUUCAGCCAAGGAAUGAAGGCUAAUACUCCCUUAACUAGCCAAAGGGUUCACUGUUGAGCAACUUGAGACAUCAGCAGAAUACACUUCUGGUGUAAGCAGGCACAGCUCACUUGACUUCGGUGAUUUCUGUGCUCUUUUUUCCCCAGUGGGAUUCCUUGACUUUACAAAGCUUUUGAUAUGGUCUCCCACAGUAUUCUUGCCUGCAAGUUAAAGAAUUAUGAGCUGGAUGAAUGGACUAUAAGGUGGAUAGAAAGCUGGCUAGAUCAUUGGGCUCAAUGG